GCCCGCCCUGAGCGUUUUCCCUCCCCAGGAAGUACAUAUGGAGGACAUACCACUUAACCUACGCUGGAGAAAAGCUGGCAGACGACAGGAAGAAGCUGAGAGAGUAUGGCAUUAGAAACCGUGAUGAGGUCAGCUUCAUAAAGAAACUUCGAAAGUAACUUGUCAGAUAAAAGCAGAUAAUCCAGCUGUACCAAGACCAUUCUGUGGAUUCAGCACCUUCCUAGAGGAAAAGGUUGUAGCAUUUCAAAUGGAAACAGACUCAGAGUCGAAUGGAAACUCUCAGAUGCCACAGCUUCUGCAGUUGCUGUUUGAAACAUCUGCCUCGGAGCUGUAUGCUGUGUCCAUUUUCAGGGAUUAAAGAGACGAUGUGGUUUUCUGAA